ensembl:lncRNA
UAUAUAUAUAUAUAUAUAUAUAUAUAUAUCUAUGUGCGUUGUGCACGUAAACAAUGCCACCUGUUGCUGCGGGUGGGCGCUCCCCCGGUCGUCGGCCGGCCUGCAGGGAGGGACUGACCACGGCACAAUGGAGGGUGUGAGCUGACUGAAAGGAGGGUUGUUGGGGGGUUGCAGGCAGAGAUAAAGACAGACAGAUGGGGCAGACAAUGAGGCGUAAGCAGCCACCCUGCAUGCCAACAACACCCCCCCAGGCCUGCUUUAAACUUUAGCUCUUCCUUUAUCUUUCCCAUUGGGGUCAAAGUUUUUCAACAUUCACGCUUUGUGGUCUUUUCUUUUUAGCUUACCGUUCAAUAGAAUACCUUUUUAUUUUGCGAUUAGGUCUCCAAAGAAGUUGAACUUUCUCCCUGCUUCUGUGGCUUGGCCGGCCCUCCUUUUCCUUCCUCCAUCCCUACUGUUCAGCUGAUCAGAUAAAGGACACCUCGGUGGAGGGAGGGAGCGAGCGGGGGAGCAUAGAUGGUAUGGACAGACAUAGCCUUCACCUGUUGUUCUAAAAUCCCCUUGUUUGGAAAGCUGAUCCCAUCUCCCGUUCCUCAGGUUUCCACAAACAACCCCAGCUGUCGGGGAGCGGUGGAGCUCUCUGUCUCCAUCCGCCCGUCUGUCAUCCGUCUCUCACGGCCCUCGACCUGGGAGGAAGGUUUCAUCGGUUUCUUCUGCACCUCUUUGAAGAAUGUUUUGGUUCAGGAGUCGACAACAAACGCAGUUCGUGGCCACUUCCCAUUAAAAUCCAGCCGAAUCAUUUUAUUUUUGAAUGGCAGUAUUGCAAUAAAAACUUCCCAGUUGACUUUUCUCCCUCCGGGAUGAGCUUCAAAUUUUUUGGAUUCUGUUUGAUAAAAUCCACCGUAAAAAGGGCAAAGCAUGUUUCAGCUUCCUAUGUACAAUAUUUAUCAAAUUGGAGAAAUGAGGAAGCCUGAAAGUGAACCUAAAAAUAUUUUCCAGUUGCGAACGUCGCACAUACGUACAUCUCACGACAUUUCAAGUUGCUCUGUUUGUUCCCCUCUUUCCCGUAACCACGACAACAGGUUUCACAACCCACUCCAUGUUCCAGUGAACCGUUCUGCAUCGGGCCUGACUCAUGCGCAGUCAUAUCCUGCCGACACCCAUGUGCAGGCCUGGUCCUACACCAUGUGUGUAUCGUGACAGGGGCGUGACUCCAGCUGAAAAUAUGAUCCUCCUUCCGCCGGCCCGCCGGUCUCAACGCUUAGGGGGGCACAAACUGGGCGUGUUCUCUCCGAUGACUUUCCCUGCUGGGCAUCUAUUCCCCUCCCUGAAGAGGAGACCAGCUCCAGGUGUGUAUCUUCCCACACCUGGUCCAGACGCGCUCCUGAGGGAGCGGGUGGAGCAAUGCUGCUGUGGUGUAGAGGCCUCUAACAACUACGCCCCUCAGCUCCUCACAACGUGUGUGUGUGUUUGGCAGUGUCACUGAGUCAUGACUGCAAACAGAUUGGGAGACUCCAAAAUAAUUAUCAUAAUUGACUGUGACAUGUUUCUCUCUUAACACACACCGGAUCAGAUAUUACAAUAUAUGUCACAACUUUUAUCUUGUGUAAAAAAGAGAAAAUAUCAUAGUAUUUUUUUCAGAACACAGUAAGACAGUUUCAGUGUGUGUGAGUUACAGACAACACAACAGAUACAGCUAAUCUCAGUCCUCCGUCUUCUCAUUUUGUGUACGGAGAAUAUUGAAAACCUUUAUUGCGACCGCGCAAAGAGAAAUGUCAUUAUUUCUGUGAUAAAGAUCAACGUUAUUUCAGCGCCGGAGUCGAUACCUGGCAGCUCAGCGAGAUGAGGCGGCCGAUGAGGCUUCGCUGAAAUCUCGCGGAACUGGUUCGGACCACUUAUUGAGAAUAAUUUUUUUCUUUACAGCUGCUACCGCAGUAGGAGCACUACAAAUCAAUUCUGACAGCGAAGCGGGGCGCUCCCUGGAACGAAGAAGGCAAAUAACCACAAGACAGACAAGAGAGAGAGUCUCUGUCUGUCUGUUCAUGGGUGUGUGUGAGAGAGAGAGAGAGUGACUCAACCCAUGGUGACUAUAGAGACACAUUUCUCAUUAUUCUUCCACAGUAAUCAGUGCACUCCACAAUCAACACUUAAUCAUAGCUUUGAAGUGGGGUAAGUAAGGCGGUAGACACGCGGUGCGCCCACAGCUGCCCUGGCCGGACGUGUACAGUCGGACAGAUGCGUCACUCGUCAGGUGUCAGCGCAGACAUGACCGAACAGAUGGGCCCCGCCUGCUGAAUAAGGAUUAUGUGUGUGUGUGUGUGUGUGUGUGUCUCUAGACCACGGUGGGAAAACAGAUCCUCCCACAAGAAUCGGAGGAAGGACACAAUGCGCUCGCCACAGACGCACACAGGUGUACACCCGUACGUCUCGCCGCGCACAAACUGGCGGAACGCAAGCCACUCAAAAUGACCUUUGCGCCUGGGACGAAUCCAAUCAUCUAACCUGUCUGUCAGAAACGUGACCAUGUGUGUGCGUGUGUGUGUGCGCGUACAAACCUUCAUCAAUGUAAUGUAACGCAAUUCUGGAAAGCAGGAGAGCUACCAAGAAGAAGCCUCCGUGUCCGUCCACGCGCGCGUUCCUGUGUGGCUAAAGGGGUCGUCACCGGUGCACCGGUGGAGAGGACACCAGGCUGACAGCGGCAACAUUUACCGUCACUAAUGGACCCGAUAUUGGAUGUUCUGUUCCGUGGGAAACCGGCCAAUUUGGGGAAAGACGUGCUAGCCUCACAGGCCCUGCAAAAUGUACAACUCCUAUCAGCUUCUACUUUCUAUUUAGCGCUAAUAUGCACAGAGGGACAUUAUACCUGCUAGCUGCUAGCAUUCUGCUCAAAGCACCAUUGUUGGUCCUGUAAUUUGUUGAAUUCAUCAUGCGUGCAGUAUGUUCAAGCGUAGUGGGUCGUGUUCACAAAUCGACUGCGUAGUUUUCUUCUUCUUCUUCAGACAACAUGAAUGGGCGAAUUGUGAGAAAUUGCAUGAAAGUGCAUGAAACUGAACGAGCACCUGUGUCCAGUUAAGUCUUCCGAGCAUGACGAAAAGAACAAAGAGAAGCAGAAGCAAUGUUACAUUUUCUAACCUCCCUUCAUUCUACUCGUGACUGGCUCCGCAGACGUGAAAUGUCCUCGAAGCCGACAAAGAGCCGCUCAACGACCGCCACAAAGAGAAAGAGAAGAAAUCGCGUGAGAGGGCGGAUACCAACACCUGCGUUUCUGAGCCUUUGGAAAGCCCCCCCCCCCCGUACCCCUCCCCACCCCGUCCUACGCAAACAACCCCGCACGCAUGUGAAGAAAAGGCUUCUCUUCAUUCACUUUCAUCACCAUAGAUACCCAGCAGAAGUUCUCCAAAGGGCCCUCGCAUCCCGCAAAGCAGCCGAAUCCUUAACCGUUCUGCGUAACCGCCGGCAACAACCCCUA